rnacentral:rRNA from 1 species
UGAGGAAUAUUGGAUAAUGGGCGAAAGCCUGAUCCAGCCAUGCCGCGUGUGUGAAGAAGGUCUUCGGAUUGUAAAGCACUUUAAGUUGGGAGGAAGGGCAGUUACCUAAUACGUGAUUGUUUUGACGUUACCGACAGAAUAAGCACCGGCUAACUCUGUGCCAGCAGCCGCGGUAAUACAGAGGGUGCAAGCGUUAAUCGGAAUUACUGGGCGUAAAGCGCGCGUAGGUGGUUAGUUAAGUUGGAUGUGAAAUCCCCGGGCUCAACCUGGGAACUGCAUUCAAAACUGACUGACUAGAGUAUGGUAGAGGGUGGUGGAAUUUCCUGUGUAGCGGUGAAAUGCGUAGAUAUAGGAAGGAACACCAGUGGCGAAGGCGACCACCUGGACUGAUACUGACACUGAGGUGCGAAAGCGUGGGGAGCAAACAGGAUUAGAUACCCAUGUAGUCCCUGAGCGGGCUGGCAAGGCGCAU